GUGGAGACGAAUGUCUGCGUACGCGAAAACAAACCCAUCAGCUGCACGUACACGUUCGCCAAAACCACCAAAGACACAAACAACAAUCAGAACGAGCGGUACCAUGUCACAAUACGUGCUUAACCCAUCGGAUUAAUCGAUGGGGUAUUACUCCAUUUUACAAAGGAGUCCUUUAAGUUAAAUGCACUUUUAUCCAACGAUGGAUUAAGCAUUGCCCCGAAAAUGUGAAAGAUACAAGACAAUAUAAUACAAAGGCUCACCUGUUGGGCUCCAGGAGUCGCUUUGUUCCACAAAACCAUUAAGCCACGAUUGUAACCUAUCAGAAUAUUGUCUGGAUGACCUGGUUGUUCCGCUAUCGCCUCC